rnacentral:rRNA from 1 species
UACGUAGGGUGCAAGCGUUAAUCGGAAUUACUGGGCGUAAAGUGUGCGCAGGCGGCCGCGCAAGUCGAGUGUGAAAGCCCCGGGCUUAACUUGGGAAUUGCGCUCGAAACUACGUGGCUGGAGUGUGGCAGAGGAAGGUGGAAUUCCACGUGUAGCGGUGAAAUGCGCAGAUAUCGGGAAGAACACCCAUGCGAAGGCAGCUCUCUGGGACGGUACUGACGCUGAGA